GGCCAGACUCCUACGGGAGGCAGCAGUGGGGAAUAUUGCACAAUGGGGGAAACCCUGAUGCAGCGACGCCGCGUGGGCGACGAAGCGCUCCGGCGCGUAAAGCCCUGUCAGCAGGGAAGAACAAAGACAGUACCUGACCAAGAAGCACCGGCUAAAUACGUGCCAGCAGCCGCGGUAAUACGUAUGGUGCAAGCGUUAUCCGGAUUUACUGGGCGUAAAGGGAGCGCAGGCGGCGCGCCAAGUCUGAUGUGAAACCCCGGGGCUCAACCCCGGGCAUGCAUUGGAAACUGGCGGGCUGGAGUGCCGGAGAGGUAAGCGGAAUUCCUAGUGUAGCGGUGAAAUGCGUAGAUAUUAGGAGGAACACCAGUGGCGAAGGCGGCUUACUGGACGGCAACUGACGCUGAGACUCGAAAGCGUGGGGAGCAAACAGGAUUAGAUACCCCUGUA
rnacentral:rRNA from 1 species